rnacentral:rRNA from 1 species
AAAUUGAAGAGUUUGAUCAUGGCUCAGAUUGAACGCUGGCGGCAGGCCUAACACAUGCAAGUCGAACGGUAACAGGAAGAAGCUUGCUUCUUUGCUGACGAGUGGCGGACGGGUGAG